AUGAGGCUAAUCGAGGAGACGGUGACGAGCAUUACCAGGGCCGUGCUGAACAGGGCGAUCCACUUCGCCGAGUCGGCCAUCGCAAAGGAGGCAGCUCUCCACCUCGGCAUCCAGCGCGAUCAGACCUUCAUCGCCGACGAGCUUGAGAUGAUGCAGGGCUUCCUAAUGGCCGCGCACGACGACCGUGACAGCCACAACAGGGUGGUGAAGAUCUGGGUGAAGCAAGUCCGCGACGUUGCCUACGACGUCGAGGACUGCCUCCAGGACUUUGCUGUCCGUGUGACGGUGAGGAGGUCCUGGUGGCGUUCCCCUCGCAAGCUGCUGCACCGGUGGCACGUGGCCAAGAAGAUGAAGGAGCUCAGAGCCAGGGUUGAGGAUGUCAGCCAGAGGAACCUGCGCUACCACCUCAUCAAGGCAUCCAAGCCAAUCUCCGCUGAUGAGCAGUCGUUGGCCGUCGCUAGUGCAACCAUGUCUGACAUUGACGAAGUAAGGCGGCAACAUGAAAAGGCAAAAGUGGGUCUCAUUUGGCUCAUCAGCAAGAAGGACAAUGACCUUAGAGUCAUUGCGGUGUCAGAGACAAAUGCUAUCGGUCUUGGAGAAACCUCCAUCGUCAAAAGAGCCUACGAAGAUCUCAAGAUACACAAGAAAUUCGAGUGUUUUGCCUGGAUAAGGCCAAGCAAACAGAGAAAAAUCCUGCAGAUGCCCAAGUUCUGA
rnacentral:rRNA from 1 species